rnacentral:rRNA from 1 species
GACGAACCGUGCGAACGUUGUUCGGAAUCACUGGGCUUAAAGGGCGCGUAGGCGGACUGCCAAGUCCGGGGUGAAAUCCUCCGGCUUAACCGGAGAAUUGCCUGGGAUACUGGCGGUCUUGAGGGAGGUAGGGGCACGCGGAACUUCCGGUGGAGCGGUGAAAUGCGUUGAUAUCGGAAGGAAGCGCCGGUGGCGAAAGCGGCGUGCUGGCCCUCUUCUGACGCUGAGGCGCGAAAGCCAGGGAGCGAACGGG